CGUGAUCUCAGCGGAAGUUUCACUUUGGAAUUACCAAACCAGGACACGUACUGACAGCCGCAAAAAUAAAAGCCGCCGAACGAGCUUUACACCUAAUUAGUGCCAGUAACUAAUGACAAACUUCACACUUGCCUGAUAACUUUGGCUCUUACUUACUCAACCGGCCAAGCAUACCGCAAAGGGGAUAGGAAAGGCCGAGGACUGGAUUUAGUUUUCGGAGGAUGAUGUAUGUAUCUUUUUGAAGUCAGCAAUGGCUGCUUGUGAAAACAGCGGACUCCGACCAAGAUGUUUUAGAAGGUUCAAAAUAUUUUUGAUUUUCUUUUUAUUGACCGUUGGAAUAGUCGGGAGUUAAAUAUAGUAUUUUCAUUAUCCUGAUGUAGUGGUGGUGGUCUUAAAGGGACAAAUCUCCAGCCGGUAUAAGCAUGCCCACAGAAGCAAGGUGGACUCUACAGUGGGCACCAAGAAGAUGAACAGGCCGGAAACAAGGACCAGGUAGAGCCACAGCACUGAGAUAUCCAUGGUUGCGAGUUAAAGUUCGCAAGCUUUCGGAUUGAUCGUUAAUUUAUAGG
ensembl:ncRNA asRNA:CR44130 antisense RNA:CR44130